GCGUGCUAAUACAUGCAAGUCGAGCGAACGGACGAGAAGCUUGCUUCUCUGAUGUUAGCGGCGGACGGGUGAGUAACACGUGGAUAACCUACCUAUAAGACUGGGAUAACUUCGGGAAACCGGAGCUAAUACCGGAUAAUAUUUUGAACCGCAUGGUUCAAAAGUGAAAGACGGUCUUGCUGUCACUUAUAGAUGGAUCCGCGCUGCAUUAGCUAGUUGGUAAGGUAACGGCUUACCAAGGCAACGAUGCAUAGCCGACCUGAGAGGGUGAUCGGCCACACUGGAACUGAGACACGGUCCAGACUCCUACGGGAGGCAGCAGUAGGGAAUCUUCCGCAAUGGGCGAAAGCCUGACGGAGCAACGCCGCGUGAGUGAUGAAGGUCUUCGGAUCGUAAAACUCUGUUAUUAGGGAAGAACAUAUGUGUAAGUAACUGUGCACAUCUUGACGGUACCUAUCGGAAAGCCACGGCUAACUACGUGCCAGCAGCCGCGGUAAAUACGUAGGUGGCAAGCGUUAUCCGGAAUUAUUGGGCGUAAAGCGCGCGUAGGCGGUUUUUUAAGUCUGAUGUGAAAGCCCACGGCUCAACCGUGGAGGGUCAUUGGAAACUGGAAAACUUGAGUGCAGAAGAGGAAAGUGGAAUUCCAUGUGUAGCGGUGAAAUGCGCAGAGAUAUGGAGGAACACCAGUGGCGAAGGCGACUUUCUGGUCUGUAACUGACGCUGAUGUGCGAAAGCGUGGGGAUCAAACAGGAUUAGAUACCCUGGUAGUCCACGCCGUAAACGAUGACUGCUAAGUGUUAGGGGGUUUCCGCCCCUUAGUGCUGCAGCUAACGCAUUAAGCACUCCGCCUGGGGAGUACGACCGCAAGGUUGAAACUCAAAGGAAUUGACGGGGACCCGCACAAGCGGUGGAGCAUGUGGUUUAAUUCGAAGCAACGCGAAGAACCUUACCAAAUCUUGACAUCCUUUGACAACUCUAGAGAUAGAGCCUUCCCCUUCGGGGGACAAAGUGACAGGUGGUGCAUGGUUGUCGUCAGCUCGUGUCGUGAGAUGUUGGGUUAAGUCCCGCAACGAGCGCAACCCUUAAGCUUAGUUGCCAUCAUUAAGUUGGGCACUGUAAGUUGACUGCCGGUGACAAACCG
rnacentral:rRNA from 1 species